rnacentral:rRNA from 1 species
ACAUCCAGAGAAUUUAGCAGAGAUGCUUAGUGCCUUCGGGAACUCUGAGACAGGUGCUGCAUGGCUGUCGUCAGCUCGUGUUGUGAAAUGUUGGGUUAAGUCCCGCAACGAGCGCAACCCUUUAUCCUUUGUUGCCAGCACGUAAUGGUGGGAACUCAAAGGAGACUGCCGGUGAUAAACCGGAGGAAGGUGGGGAUGACGUCAAGUCAUCAUGGCCCUUACGAGUAGGGCUACACACGUGCUACAAUGGCGCAUACAAAGAGAAGCGACCUCGCGAGAGCAAGCGGACCUCAUAAAGUGCGUCGUAGUCCGGAUUGGAGUCUGCAACUCGACUCCAUGAAGUCGGAAUCGCUAGUAAUCGUAAAUCAGAAUGUUACGGUGAAUACGUUCCCGGGCCUUGUACACACCGCCCGUCACACCAUGGGAGUGGGUUGCAAAAGAAGUAGAUAGCUUAACCUUCGGGAGGGGCGUUUACCACUUUGUGAUUCAUGACUGGGGUGAAGUCGUAACAAGGUAGGCGUAGUGCU